rnacentral:rRNA from 1 species
AUUGAACGCUGGCGGCAGGCCUACACAUGCAAGUCGGACGGUAGCACAGAGGAGCUUGCUCCUCGGGUGACGAGUGGCGGACGGGUGAGUAAUGUCUGGGGAUCUGCCCGAUAGAGGGGGAUAACCACUGGAAACGGUGGCUAAUACCGCAUAAUGUCGCAAGACCAAAGAGGGGGACCUUCGGGCCUCUCACUAUCGGAUGAACCCAGAUGGGAUUAGCUAGUAGGCGGGGUAAUGGCCCACCUAGGCGACGAUCCCUAGCUGGUCUGAGAGGAUGACCAGCCACACUGGAACUGAGACACGGUCCAGACUCCUACGGGAGGCAGCAGUGGGGAAUAUUGCACAAUGGGCGCAAGCCUGAUGCAGCCAUGCCGCGUGUAUGAAGAAGGCCUUCGGGUUGUAAAGUACUUUCAGCGGGGAGGAAGGCGGUGAGGUUAAUAACCUUGCCGAUUGACGUUACCCGCAGAAGAAGCACCGGCUAACUCCGUGCCAGCCGCCGCCGUAA